CUUAAGGUUGUUUCAACACUUUGACAAAAACUCUCCGUUUUCUUUGAGCCAGCACCCAAACUCUCCCUAUUCAGAAUUGUCUUCCAGCCAAACAGCCAUCACUCACCCAAUACGAAAAUCAGUCUAUUUGAAUCACCCAAAACUAAAAGGGAAAUCUUCGAUUGGGAAUCCGGGUCUUCAAUUUGGAUUAGUAGGUUAGGGUUCUUCAAUUGGAAACCCGAUUAAGUCACUCUCUCUUUCUCGCUCGUAUUCUCCGGCGCGACACCAACAACUUGUCUUCUUCUCUAUAACAAUCAUCGUUUCUCACCUUCUUCACCUCUAUAACUGCCAUGGAGGAGAAAGAAAGCACACAGAUGAGAAAGAAUUCGAGGAGAGAGAAAACAGAUCUGGGAUUUCUCUCUCCUCCAUUGUUAACGAGCAUGGGUAUGGGUAGCAGAACCUCUCUUUUCGAUCACCAAGUCCUCCUCUUGGCCUCACUGGUGCCUUUGGGGGUUGCAAAAUAGUUUGCAAAGUCUUUCUCCCUUGUGAUUGUUUCAGAUGCUUUGGAUUACCUCUUAAAAUAUCUGAUAGGACUCUUCCAGAAAUUGCAGGGGUGUGUCUAUAUAAAUGUUACUCUAUUUGCUUAUGUUAUAAGUUAAUGGGUUCAAGUAUACAUGGUUAUCCGGCAAUCGACUCUAUUUUAUAAAAGGAUUGACCUAUCAAAUCUUCUAAUAGGUUGUGUUGCGUAUCAUUUUCUCAGAUGUGUUGGGUUUUAUUUUCUCAAAAAGGAUAUAAUUGGUUUAGAUUUGAUUCAAAUUUAGGGAUAAUUUGAUCUUUUGCAGCAGAGAAAGCUAUGGAGGUAGGAGAAGAGAUGAAGCAAACAAAGUGGAAGGGAAGUGUUCAAAAGAAAAUUUGGGGUUGAGCAGUUAAGUCAAUUGGAUUUUGCCUUUGUUUCUAAUGCAUAACACCAUAUCAUGAGUCUAAAAUUCGCCGGAUUGAUUGCUGCUAUAGCUUCAUAUCUGCCAGAAAUCACAAUGAAUGAUUUUUACACGUCUUCACUUGCUGUCCUACUUCUACACAAUGUGAACAUAUAUAGAUACAUAACUCCAUAUGGUUGAUUACAUGGUGGUAUAUAUGGCUAAGACAUGUCCUCUUUAUAUAGAUUGCUUGAUUCAUAAGUCAAAAGUAAAAACAAUUAAGAUGAGAGUAACUUCAAUUUUGUGUUAUUUGCAGUGUUUGGCUGUAACUAUAUGUAGUACGAUAGGGUUUGCAUUUUAAAAUGAGUGAUUAUUUUACUUUGUGAAGCGUGUCUUCAAUACCUACUGUGUGAAUGGUAAGAGAUUUGAUUUUCUUGUUAAUGGAUUUAGGUGUUGAGUGCUCCAUACCUCCAAAGCAUGCCAACAGCUAAGAUGCAAGUGAGAUUGAGUGGGACAUAAUAGCAAGAAUUGUCAAUUAUAUUUUGAAAUUUUCUUUGGGUUAUAUAACAUUAAUUGAAUGUAAUAUGCCAUGAUUAGGUGACUUCCUAAUUAUCAGUGAUGGUAUUAGCAAAGUGGUGUGAAGCUCAUGGAUCAAACAUGCUGCUCUUUUCUUCACACCUAUGUGUAUACUUUAAGGUAGCUGAGAGCUUGGAGCUGGUGAGAAGAAACUUAAUUGUAGUUGAUAAAGAGUGAAAACAUUUGUUGCUUGAUAACUGAGAUCCUCAAGCUAGUAAGAAGGACAUACUCAUUCUGGAUUCUGCAAAAGAGAGGAAAAAUAUUGAUCCAAUGGGCGCACCAUUUUCUGCUUCUGCUGGCAUAUUAUAAUAUUCACAUGCAGCAGCUACUCAUGUUUUUUUCAAUAAUCAUAUUAGUUUUUGAUGGUUUAUGUAUAUUGAUAAUGGCAUGGCACUAGAACGCUAUCUUGUUUUGGAAUAAUUUGUAUCAGUUUUGGAUAUCCCAAGUAGAUGGGCAUGUAUUAGAAUACUUAUUUUCUUUUAAUGUUGGCUUGGAUGAUUAUUAGGAAAUGCUCCCUUUUAACAUUUGAUGUAUAUAGAAUGGGUUGGAUUACUCAUUUGAUGGUUUGUAAUGUGUUUUCU